rnacentral:rRNA from 1 species
UACGUAGGGUGCAAGCGUUUAAUCGGAAUUACUGGGCGUAAAGCGUGCGCAGGCGGUGAUGUAAGACAGGUGUGAAAUCCCCGGGCUUAACCUGGGAACUGCAUUUGUGACUGCAAGGCUUGAGUGUGUCAGAGGGAGGUGGAAUUCCGCGUGUAGCAGUGAAAUGCGUAGAUAUGCGGAGGAACACCGAUGGCGAAGGCAGCCUCCUGGGAUAACACUGACGCUCAUGCACGAAAGCGUGGGGGAGCAAACAGG